rnacentral:lncRNA from 7 species
UCAGUCAGCAGUGCGCCCAGGCAGACAGGAAUGCUCGCCGCAGCCUAGGGUGCGUCAGGCCCAGCACUCCCAGCCGGGCGGAGGGAGCACUGUAGAUGGGGAGGCGUGUUGUAAGCACACAACAAUGGAAAAGCUGUGCAACCGUUUGUUGGGAUCUUUAUCGCUAGGAGCCACGUGCCAGGUGGAAUUAGCCCACAGUGUGACAGCCAGCAUCAAGACCUUCCCCUUCAUCUUCUUUAUCUGUGUGUGCAGAGACUUCCCCUGUUGUCUUUGCUUUCCACAGCAAUCUUUGGAACAAAAGGAGUGUUGGGAGAAAGUAAAUGACCCUGGACCCACAUUAAAGGGCUGGAAGUGAACCAACAAUGGACCAUCACGGUGCUAGAAAGCUAGAUGACAUCAGAGAUUGCCAAAUGAAGCUAUGUCUGUUGGGCAGUCGCUGGGAGUGAAUAGGAUAAUAAAUUUGGGAAUAUAAUGAAUAUCUAAUACAUGUAAAAACAUAACCUGUUCAUGAACAAUCAGCUGGUGAGCAUUCUUCAAGAGUUAUCCCAAUGCCAUCCCAGCUCUGCCAAUAAAGAAUACCUUGCUUAAUGCUUCAGAAGUCACAGUCACAGACAUCUUGUAUGGUAAAAAGGUAUAUAUUUUCUACUUUUUUUUCUACCAAAAGAAUUAGAGAGUUAUUCAUAUGCUAAUCAACAUAUUUCAUCUCAGUAGAAACACUACAGAAAAUUAUAGUCAAAAGCCUUCAUAGUCAAACUCUUCAUUUACAAUACAUGAGUUUUGUUUGUUUGUUUAUUUUGUUUUUCCCUGUGGUAGCUUAAGCCAUUAAUGUAUUUCUCUUUUUUACAAAAAGUCUUUUUUACAUAGUCAGGAGAAUGAAAGCAUGUCAGUAGUCAUUGCUACUUAUUUUUCCCUUUAAAAAAUAAAUAAUUUAUCAAAUUGUUUU